rnacentral:rRNA from 1 species
ACGGGUGAGUAACGCGUGGGAAUCUACCCAUCCCUACGGAAUAACGCAUGGAAACGUGUGCUAAUACCGUAUACGCCCUACGGGGGAAAGAUUUAUCGGGGAUGGAUGAGCCCGCGUUGGAUUAGCUAGUUGGUGGGGUAAAGGCCUACCAAGGCGACGAUCCAUAGCUGGUCUGAGAGGAUGAUCAGCCACAUUGGGACUGAGACACGGCCCAAACUCCUACGGGAGGCAGCAGUGGGGAAUAUUGGACAAUGGGCGCAAGCCUGAUCCAGCCAUGCCGCGUGAGUGAUGAAGGUCUUAGGAUUGUAAAGCUCUUUCAACGGUGAAGAUAAUGACGGUAACCGUAGAAGAAGCCCCGGCUAACUUCGUGCCAGCAGCCGCGGUAAUACGAAGGGGGCUAGCGUUGUUCGGAAUUACUGGGCGUAAAGCGCACGUAGGCGGGUAUUUAAGUCAGGGGUGAAAUCCCGCAGCUCAACUGCGGAACUGCCUUUGAUACUGGGUAUCUUGAGUAUGGAAGAGGUAAGU